GAUGAACGCUGGCGGCGUGCUUAACACAUGCAAGUCGAACGAUUAACCCGCCCUCGGGCGGUUAUAGAGUGGCGAACGGGUGAGUAACACGUGACCAACCUGCCCCUUGCUCCGGGACAACCCAGGGAAACCUCGGCUAAUACCGGAUACUCCGCGCAGCCCGCAUGGGGGGCGCGGGAAAGCCCAGACGGCAAGGGAUGGGGUCGCGGCCCAUUAGGUAGACGGCGGGGUAACGGCCCACCGUGCCCGCGAUGGGUAGCCGGGUUGAGAGACCGAUCGGCCACAUUGGGACUGAGAUACGGCCCAGGCUCCUACGGGAGGCAGCAGUGGGGAAUUUUGCGCAAUGGGGGAAACCCUGACGCAGCAACGCCGCGUGCGGGACGAAGGCCUUCGGGUUGUAAACCGCUUCAGCAGGGAAUAUAGUGA
rnacentral:rRNA from 1 species